UACGUAGGUGGCAAGCGUUGUCCGGAAUUAUUGGGCGUAAAGGGAGCGUAGGCGGUUUAUUAAGUCUAUGGUGAAAGUUCGGGGCUCAACCCCGCGAUGCCAUAGAAACUGGUAGACUUGAGUACAAGAGAGGUUAGUGGAAUUCCAUGUGUAGCGGUAAAAUGCGUAGAGAUCUGGAGGAACACCAGUGGCGAAGGCGGCUUACUGGGUCUCAACUGACGCUGAUGCACGAAAGCGUGGGGAGCAAACAGG
rnacentral:rRNA from 1 species